GCUUUGGUCAGGUAAAUUUUUUUUUUCUAGUUGUAUAAUUGUUUAGAUAAUGUAGUUAGUUUUCUAAGUUGUAUAAUUUUUGAAAUAAUUCAUGUAGCAAUUUUCUAUAUUGGUAUUAUUUAUAUGAAUAUUGUUAUGUAAUUUAGAGUUGUUUAUUUAAUUUAGAGUAGUUUAUGUAAUAUUUCUAGAAUUUAAUUAUGUAAUUUAGUUAGAUAAAUCUAGUUUGUAAUUUUAGUUAUAUAGUUAGUUACAUACGUAUUUACUUAGAUAGAUAUUUAGGUGUUUUAUUUGUAUUAGUUAUAUGCCUAGUAACAUGGUUGUUUUGUAUAUCAAUUAGAUGGACAAUUUAGUAACCUUAUAUCAUGGAGGAAGUGUGGAGAAAGAUCAGUUUGGCAAUGUUGAUUUUGUUGGAAUGCAAACGGUCCCUUUGAUGUUUGAUGAGCGGCCCU
rnacentral:lncRNA from 1 species